AUGUAUGAUGAUGGAACCAGGCAAGGGCACCGGGAUGAACAGGUCCGUGUGAGGGACAUCCCAACGAAGAGGAACCUAAACUCUCAAUUCUCUCAGUCAGCUGAAAACCGCACUGGCGGGCAGAGUAAACCAAGAGAUGGAGAGGUCAACAGCCCUAGGUGCGACAAAACUAAAGGUGCUGAUGGAGGUGAGCAUGAUCUGAGGGAGGGCCUGGAGAUGAGAAGGGAGCAGAACCUAAGGGACAAGCUGAUAGAUACAAAUCUUGAGAGAGAGAGGCGCUAUGCCCGGGAUGUCUCAUGGGAGAGGAAAGGGAAAGACUCGGUUGAGUUUCCACCUAGGGGACACCAUGCUCAUGCAUAUGAUAGGGCCGAUCAACCGAGGGGGGCUGGCGUUCACAGGCAGGAUGGAAGAAGAAGGGGAUACUAUGUAAGAAAACCCAGGCAAAGUCCGGCCUAUGAUCACUGUGAGAGUCAGCGAGAUAGAAUCAGUUUCGAGAACAGGAAACGUAGGCCAUGGAAAGUACGGGUGGCUAAGGGUGAUAUUGAUAGGAUACAUGAACAGGAUGCUUGCAUUCGUGAUACGCGACGUAAAACGUCGACAAUGUUUGACCGCAUUUCAGACAACAUGGAUAGAUCGGCGGACCCCGAGGAACGGGGCCUCCCGGAGCAAUGA
rnacentral:rRNA from 1 species